rnacentral:lncRNA from 1 species
AUGGUGCCUCCAAAUGCCCCCAUGAAGUCUGUUUUCCAGCUUAUAGCAUCAGAUAUGGAGAAACUGAAGCAGCUCCAGGAACAGUUGAAUGGCAAAAGCGCUAAGAAAAUAUUAUUUUUCCUCCCUCCUGUUUUCUCUGGAUUGCUUGUACCUCUUCAUAUACACUGGGUUUCCUCCUUGGCAAAGAAAGUUACACAUUUUCCACAGUUUUCUGCUCUUCUGAUCUGGAACAUGUUGUUGUGUGCUGCUAAGAACACCCAGCUUUGGAGGUUCUGCAAAAGACAAGGUCUGGAUGUGCUUUUAAUGGUGUCUUGCAUGUCACAUAUUGUCCACUUUCCACUAUAACCAGUGCUACUCUUUUUAUAGAUUUUGUUUUUAUAUCAAUGUUUCAGGCGUUUCCUGUUGUAUAGAUGAACACAUCUAUACAAGCUGUCCAAGUGGCCUGUACAGUUCAAGAGAGCGUACUGGCCAGCAGUACAGGUUUAGUGCAUACAUACACAAUGUUAAGGGUGUGCAUUCUUCUGCUUCCCACAGCUGCACAGCUCUCAUGUGAGUCAUUUACAGUCACCUAGUUAAGAUGAAAAAAGUCUUAAUAUUGUUCUUAUCAGUUACACUGAUGCUAAGAACAGGCCUUGAGAUUUCUCAGAGGGAGGUACCCAUGUUUGUGUUGUUUCUGCCUCCAGAUAAGCUUCAGCAUUUUUGUGUAGAUAAGCUUUAACUUCUUUGUGUUUUUGAAGUCUACGUAGUAUACUGAGCUUGGUUUUAUACUGCUGCAGUUCAGCCAGCAUUCCUGUUGAAAAGAUGAAAGGCAGAAACAAUCACAGCUCUUGAGUCAUCAUAGCUUUUAAGCAGGAUGUAGCCAGCUUCUUGCUUCACCAGGAUGAUGCUCAGAGUCAGUAAAAGAUUCAAGGAGAACUGCACAGUGGAAGCCUAUCCCAAGCACAGAAGGCACUGUGAAGCUUACUGCCUGCCACACUUAGCGUAUGAGUGGUUACUGAAACUGAAAACUGAAACAAUUCCUUGUCUGAUGAAUUGACCCCCUGGAAAACAGUGAAUUCUGACUGCAUUAGAAAGCCAAGAACUGAUUGCAUAUGACAGAUCUCUUAAAAGUAAAAUAAACAGUGAAAUACAAUUGGAGAUUUGGUGGAG